UACGUAGGCGGAUAUAUAAGUCAAAUGUGAAAGGCACCGGCUUAACCGGUGAGCUGCAUUUGAAACUGUAUAUCUUGAGUUCAGGAGAGGAGAGCGGAAUUCCUGGUGUAGCGGUGGAAUGCGUAGAUAUCAGGAAGAACACCAGUGGCGAAGGCGGCUCUCUGGCCUGAAACUGACGCUCAGGUACGAAAGCUGGGGUAGCAAACG
rnacentral:rRNA from 1 species